GUUGGAAUUCACUCUCAGCAACAUCAUAUGGUUGUAUCGACCUCGACUUUUUCGAGGAUUAAUCAAGUUCCAACACCGAUCAACGAAGUCCUUUUUUGCGAGCAUCAAUGAGGACAAGGACAGGGUUUGGAUGAGCCUGUUCGUAAAGAUAAGGACUUGUGACCUCAUUCAAGAGGAGAAACUGCCAUUUCCAAGAAGUGGAACCCCGACCGUAAGUAAAGUAUUACC
rnacentral:lncRNA from 1 species